rnacentral:rRNA from 1 species
GACGAACGCUGGCGGCGCGCUUAACACAUGCAAGUCGAACGGAAAGGCUCUGCUUUUGUGGGGUGCUCGAGUGGCGAACGGGCGAGUAACACGUGCGUAACCUGCCCUUGACUUUGGGAUAACUUAAGGAAACUGGGGCUAAUACCGGAUAGGAGCUCCUGCCGCAUGGUGGGGGUUGGAACGUUUCGGCGGUUGGGGAUGAACUCGCGGCUUAUCAGCCUGUUGGCGGGGUAGUGGCUUACCAAUGCCUUCACGGGUAGCCGCCCUGAGAGGGUGACCGACCUCAUCGAUACAAAGACACGCCCCGAACUCCUUCGGGAGGCAGCAUUAAGGAAUAUUCCACAAUGGUCCGAAGCCUUAUGCAGCCUCGCCACGUGCGGAAUGUCAACCUUCCGGUUGUAGACCGCUUUCGCCUCUGACGAAGCGUGUGUGGCGGUAAUGAGUAGAGAAGCACCGGCUAACUACGUG